rnacentral:misc_RNA from 1 species
GAAAUGCGAUAAGUAAUGUGAAUUGCAGAAUUCAGUGAAUCAUCGAAUCUUUGAACGCACAUUGCGCCCCCUGGUAUUCCGGGUGGCAUGCCUGUUCGAGCGUCAUUUCACCACUCAAGCCUCGCUUGGUAUUGGGCGACGCGGUCCGCCGCGCGCCUCAAAUCGACCGGCUGGGUCUUUCGUCCCCUCAGCGUUGUGGAAACUAUUCGCUAAAGGGUGCCGCGGGAGGCCACGCCGUAAAACAACCCCAUUUUCUAAGGUUGACCUCGGAUCAGGUAGGGAUACCCGCUGAACUUAAGC